rnacentral:misc_RNA from 1 species
UUAAGUUCAGCGGGUAUUCCUACCUGAUCCGAGGUCGAGGGUCUCAUGCAGUGGGGGUUUUACGGCCGGAGGCCGCCGCCGCGCCGGAGCGAGGCGCUGUACUGCGCUCGGCGCGGCGGCGGUCCCGCCACUGGAUUUGGGGGCCGCGGCGGCCGCGGCGCCCCAACACAAGCCGGGCUUGACGUGUAGCGGGUGACGCU